AUUGAACGCUGGCGGCAGGCCUAACACAUGCAAGUCGAGCGAGCGGCGGACGGGUGAGUAAUGUAUGGGGACUGCCCGAUAUAGGGGGAUAACUCCUGGGAACGGUAGCUCAUACCGCAUACUAUCGGAUAACCCAUAUGGGAUUAGCUAGUAGGUGAGGUAAUGGCUCACCUAGGCGACGAUCCCUCGCUGGUCUGAGAGGCGGAUCAGCCAAACUGGGACUGAGACACGGCCCAGACUCCUACGGAGGCAGCAGUGGGGAAUAUUGCACAAGGGGCGCAAGCCUGAUGCAGCCAGGCCGCGUGUAUGAAGAAGGCCCUAGGGGUGUAAAGUACUUUCAGUCGGGAGGCGUUACCGACAGAAGAAGCACCGGCUAACUCCGUGCCAGCCGCCGCGGUAAUUC
rnacentral:rRNA from 1 species